rfam:Tetranychus urticae London genomic scaffold, scaffold_2
AAAACGGCCCUUUUCAGGGCCAAUAAAUCUCUGACUAAAGAUUUGU